rnacentral:rRNA from 1 species
UACGGGGGGAGCAAGCGUUGUUCGGAAUUACUGGGCGUAAAGGGCCAGUAGGCGGCCAACUAAGUCGGAUGUGAAAUCCCCAGGCUUAACUCGGGAAGUGCGGUGGAUACUGCUGGACUAGAGUUCCGGAGGGGUGCGUGGAAUUCCCGGUGUAGCGGUGAAAUGCGUAGAUAUCGGGAGGAACUCCGGUGGCGAAGGCGGCAUACUGGUCCACUUCUGACGCUGAGGCGCGAAAGCCAGGGGAGCAAACGGG